UACGUAGGGUGCAAGCGUUAAUCGGAAUUACUGGGCGUAAAGCGUGCGCAGGCGGUUGUGCAAGACAGAUGUGAAAUCCCCGGGCUCAACCUGGGAACUGCAUUUGUGACUGCACGGCUGGAGUGCGGCAGAGGGGGAUGGAAUUCCGCGUGUAGCAGUGAAAUGCGUAGAUAUGCGGAGGAACACCGAUGGCGAAGGCAAUCCCCUGGGCCGGUACUGACGCUGAGGAGCGAAAGCGUGGGGAGCGAACAGG
rnacentral:rRNA from 1 species